GAUGUCAUGCAUUUUGACCGUGUACGGGGCACUUAAAAUGCGAUUAAAGUUUACUCAAAUCCAAUUUGAGAGAGAGAGAGCCUACUGCUGGGGAGAGCAAAAAUGUGCAUGGUUCACAUCGAAAGUGUUGCAGUUCAUCAAUAUCUGCUAAACAGUGCACUCGGUUAGGGGAAGUGAAGGAAAACAAACGAAUUGAAAUUUCCACAAGUUCUGCAAAGAAUGCAACUGCACACGACACCAUAAAAAAUAUAUCUGGAAAAUUCACAUUGAAUCGGAUUGCCCACAACAUAGACAGCUAUUGAAGUUGAGAAUAUCAAUCAUAAUUUGAAAAAAAUCAACCAAAAAAGUUAAUACAAAGUUUUUUACUUGUAAUUUUAAUUAAAUCGACAACAAUAAAAUGCCUUGCAAAUCCUGUGGUAUUGUUUGCAGAUGCAAUGCCGAAAAGUGUGGCGAAAACUGCCCCUGUGAUGUGUACUGUGGUUGUCCCUGUCAAACUGGAAAGAAGGAGGAUUGCUGCAAGAAGUGAUAAAUCUAUGAAUGCCCCCAAAGUUGAACUUACGCUACAUGAUCUGCAACAAUAAAUUAUUUUGAAAAUACAAAAUAAGUUUAACAUUAUAAAACAUA